rnacentral:rRNA from 1 species
UACGUAGGGUGCGAGCGUUAAUCGGUAUUACUGGGCGUAAAGCGUGCGCAGGCGGCGCGUUAAGACAGGUGUGAAAGCCCCGAGCUUAACUUGGGAAUUGCGCUUGUGACUGGCGUGCUGGAGUGUGGCAGAGGGAGGUGGAAUUCCACGUGUAGCAGUGAAAUGCGUAGAGAUGUGGAGGAACACCGAUGGCGAAGGCAGCCCCCUGGGUUAACACUGACGCUCAGGCACGAAAGCGUGGGGAGCAAACAGG